GCCGGGUGUGGUGGCGCACGCCUGUAAUCCCAGCUACUUGGGAGGCUGAGGCAGGAGAAUUGCUUGAACCUGGGAUGCUGGGAUUGGGAGGUUGCAGUGAGCUGAGAUCACACAACUGCACUGCAGCCUGGGUGACAGAGCAAGCCUCCAUCUCAA
ensembl:misc_RNA Metazoa_SRP Metazoan signal recognition particle RNA